GGGGUUGUGGCUCAGAGGAAGAGCAACUGCUUUGCAUGCAGAGAGUAGCAGGUUCGACCUCUGACCCCUGGCUGCAUCUCCG
rnacentral:tRNA from 1 species